AUUGAACGCUGGCGGCAGGCCUAACACAUGCAAGUCGAGCGAGCGGCGGACGGGUGAGUAAUGUAUGGGGACUGCCCGCUAGAGGGGGAUAACUAGUGGAAACGGUGGCUAAUACCGCAUACUAUCGGAUAACCCAUAUGGGAUUUGCGAGUAGGUGGGGUACAGGCUCACAUAGGCGCCGAUCUCUAGCUGGUCUGAGAGGAUGAUCAGCCAAACUGGGACUGAGACACGGCCCAGCAUCCUACGGAGGCAGCAGUGGGGAAUAGUGCAGAAUGGGCGAAAGCCUGAUGCAGCCAUGCCGCGUGUAUGAAGAAGGCCUUAGGGUUGGAAAGUACUUUCAGCGGGGAGGCGUUACCCGCAGAAGAAGCACCGGCUAACUCCGUGCCAGCAGCCGCGGUAAUUC
rnacentral:rRNA from 1 species